rnacentral:rRNA from 1 species
GGAAUAUUGGGCAAUGGGCGCAAGCCUGAUCCAGCCAUGCCGCGUGAGUGAUGAAGGCCUUAGGGUUGUAAAGCUCUUUUACCAGGGAAGAUAAUGACGGUACCUGGAGAAUAAGCCCCGGCUAACUUCGUGCCAGCAGCCGCGGUAAUACGAAGGGGGCUAGCGUUGCUCGGGAUCACUGGGCGUAAAGCGCACGUAGGUGGAUUGCCAAGUCGGGGGUGAAAUCCUGGAGCUCAACUCCAGAACUGCCUUCGAUACUGGCGAUCUUUGAGUCCGGGAGAGGUGGGUGGAACUGCGAGUGUAGAGGUGAAAUUCGUAGAUAUUCGCAAGAACACCAGUGGCGAAGGCGGCUCACUGGCCCGGUACUGACACUGAGGCGCGAAAGCGUGGGGAGCAAA